rnacentral:rRNA from 1 species
CAGUCGCCGCGGUAAUACGGAGGGUGCAAGCGUUAAUCGGAAUUACUGGGCGUAAAGCGUGCGUAGGCGGUUCGUUAAGUCUGUUGUGAAAGCCCCGGGCUCAACCUGGGAAUGGCAAUGGAUACUGGCGAGCUAGAGUGUGUCAGAGGAUGGUGGAAUUCCCGGUGUAGCGGUGAAAUGCGUAGAGAUCGGGAGGAACAUCAGUGGCGAAGGCGGCCAUCUGGGACAACACUGACGCUGAGGCACGAAAGCGUGGGGAGCAAACAGGAUUAGAUACCCGCGUAGUCCCUGUCUCUUAUAU